rnacentral:rRNA from 1 species
GACGAACGCUGGCGGCGUGCUUAACACAUGCAAGUCGAACGAAGUGGCGAACGGGUGAGUAAUACGUGGGUAACCUGCCCUCCUUUUUGGGAUAAGCCUUGGAAACGGGGUCUAAUACCGAAUAAAGGGGGAUGGGCUUGCGGCAUAUCAGCUUGUUGGUGGGGUGAUGGCCUACCAAGGCGGUGACGGGUAGCCGGCCUGAGAGGGUGACCGUCAACAUGGGGACUGCGAGACCGCCAAGAGUCCGACGGUAGGCAGCAGUGGGGGAGAUUGCACAAUGGGAGAAAGCCUGAUGCGGGGACGCAGCGUGGGAGAUGAGGGCUUUGGGGUUGUAAACCUCUUGCGCUAGCGAACGGGUAGGUGCAGAAUAAGCGCCGGCUAACUACGUGCCAGCAGCCGCGGUAAUUC